UUCCUUGUUUCAAAGUUACUCUUUAAUAAGGUGCUCAAGAAGUUCUUUGUAACUCAGAAACGUCAAGCAGAUUUUUCUUGCCUCCUUGGAGGUGCUCUGUGAGGUCAUAGUGGACCCCAUGAAGACACUCAGGGACCCCAUAUUAUGUCAUGCCAGGAGGCACCACUUUGCAGUAGUGCCUCAAGCCCGCAAGGAGGGUGCUUGCUGGCUGCUGGCGACGAGUAGCAUGGAGCAACUGAGGGGGGCAGCCGCUCGCCGCUGUUGCAUUUUGUUCUUACUUCUCCACCUCCUGGUGGCUCUGUGUCAUGGCCAACCCCAGGAUGUCCCAUGGGAAGCACUGAGUCCCGAUGAUCGUGUUGGUGAUGUGUAUCCAGCAUAUCCCAUGGAAGGUGUUUUGGAACGUGGCAAGGAUCCCAGGGAUGUGGCCUCAGGUGCUGGCUCUGCAGCUUAUCAGUGGGCUCCUGAUUUUCAGCGUUGGAGGAACCGCAUGGGUAAGCGCUGUGCCUAGAUUUCGUUUGAGAGAUGCCAUGUAGCAUCCAGAAGGCCAGCGUGACCCCUCUG
rnacentral:lncRNA from 1 species